rnacentral:rRNA from 1 species
GGGGAAUUUUCCGCAAUGGGCGAAAGCCUGACGGAGCAAUACCGCGUGAGGGAUGAAUGCCUAUGGGUUGUAAACCUCUUUUUUCAGGGAGGAAUCAAUGACGUGUACCUGAAGAAUAAGCAUCGGCUAACUCCGUGCCAGCAGCCGCGGUAAGACGGAGGAUGCAAGUGUUAUCCGGAAUCACUGGGNCGUAAAGCGUCUGUAGGUGGUCCAAUAAGUCAACUGUUAAAUCUUGAGGCUCAACUUCAAAAUCGCAGUCGAAACUAUUAGACUAGAGUAUAGUAGGGGUAAAGGGAAUUUCCAGUGGAGCGGUGAAAUGCGUAGAGAUUGGAAAGAACACCGAUGGCGAAGGCACUUUACUGGGCUAUUACUAACACUCAGAGACGAAAGCUAAGGUAGCAAAUGGGAUUAGAUACCCCAGUAGUC